rnacentral:tRNA from 1 species
GCGGGAGUGGUGAAACUGGUAGACACGCAGCCUUGAGGUGGCUGUGGGAGAAAUCCCUUGGGGGUUCGAGUCCCUUCUUCCGCACCA